rnacentral:lncRNA from 1 species
CGAUUCCAUAUCUAAAGCUCCAAUUGAGGUCUUGAAUUAAUAAUAAAGAAAUACUUAUUACUCGUAAUUAUUGUAGGAUGAGAUGUUUCCUCUUUAUGAUCAAGUGUAUCUGUACCCCACAAAUUUUUGUAGUACUAAAAAAAUAAGUUGCAACAAAAUUAAUAUAAAAAAAGAUAUUUUAUUGAUGAAUAAUUGUGAGCACAAUCUAUAUAUCCUUUGAUUAUACUCUUCCUAAAAUUCUUCGUGAUUCGAGGGCUUGAGAAGCAUCUUUCUCGAAUGUAGGAUGAUGCAAACCUCCUUGUGAUAUAUUUAAUUGCCAAGAACGUCGAGCAUUACUUCGUUGUUCUGGGUUGAUCUCCGGGAAGAACUCCGUUGUCACUUCUUUGUUGAAGAACUUUGCACUUGAUGAUUUCUCUUUCUGUUUGCGGAUGCUUUCACUAAAUGCGGAAUGAUCUCCUCCAAC